rnacentral:misc_RNA from 1 species
AACGCAUCUUGCACUCCUUGGUAUUCCGAGGAGUAUGCCUGUUUGAGUGUCAUGAAUUGAAUCGAUUUUGAUCAUUUUUGUUUGAAAUCGGAAGUGGAUGUUGUUGCGGCAGGCGACUCGUCCUAAAUGCAUUAGCGGUCUGUCUUUGAUCACGCACAAUGUGAUAAGAAAAAAAAGCAUUGUUGAGAUCAAGUCAAGGUUGCUGCCAACCGUCGAAAACGACAGCAUAAUAAUGUCAUUUGACCUCAAAUCAGGUAAGAUUACCCGCUGAACUUAA